rnacentral:lncRNA from 1 species
UAAUAGCGCUUAAAAUAUUGCUCUGGAGGCAUGGAAGCAAGACAUUCCUUCACCCGUUCCCAAAUUUCAGCACAGACGUCAUCAACUUUCUUCCGGGUUAGUGUCCCUGGAACAGCGAUGGCCACAGAAUUAAACACAGCCAAAGGGCAAACAGGAUCGAACAGGGAGUGCAGAGAUUCCAGAUAUCCACACAGAGAGUAAUUCAGGAAGCAAAAUUCCUUACAUGGAAACUAGAGCAGGAUCCUGACUAGAAGAAGUACCUGCAGCAGGAAAACUUGAAACGCAAAACCCAGCUCUAAGCCGAAGAAGACACAGACAGCAUUAAUAGAACACCAAGAACUGGGCAAAAACUGGGGAUGCACGUGCAAGGAAACAAAGGGCUUUCGCAAU